rnacentral:rRNA from 1 species
GACGAACGCUGGCGGCGUGCUUAACACAUGCAAGUCGAGCGAUGAAGUUCCUUCGGGAAUGGAUUAGCGGCGGACGGGUGAGUAACACGUGGGUAACCUGCCUCAUAGAGGGGAAUAGCCUUCCGAAAGGAAGAUUAAUACCGCAUAAGAUUGUAGUUUCGCAUGAAACAGCAAUUAAAGGAGUAAUCCGCUAUGAGAUGGACCCGCGUCGCAUUAGCUAGUUGGUGAGGUAACGGCUCACCAAGGCGACGAUGCGUAGCCGGCCUCAGAGGGUGAUCGGCCACAUUGGGACUGAGACACGGCCCAGACUCCUACGGGAGGCAGCAGUGGGGAAUAUUGCACAAUGGGGGAAACCCUGAUGCAGCAACGCCGCGUGAGUGAUGACGGUCUUCGGAUUGUAAAACUCUGUCUUCAGGGACGAUAAUGACGGUACCUGAGGAGGAAGCCACGGCUAACUACGUGCCAGCCGCCGCGGUAAAAC